GAUGAACGCUGGCGGCGUGCCUAAUACAUGCAAGUCGAGCGAACAGACGAGGAGCUUGCUCCUCUGACGUUAGCGGCGGACGGGUGAGUAACACGUGGAUAACCUACCUAUAAGACUGGGAUAACUUCGGGAAACCGGAGCUAAUACCGGAUAAUAUAUUGAACCGCAUGGUUCAAUAGUGAAAGACGGUUUUGCUGUCACUUUUAGAUGGAUCCGCGCCGCAUUAGCUAGUUGGUAAGGUAACGGCUUACCAAGGCAACGGUGCGUAGCCGACCUGAGAGGGUGAUCGGCCACACUGGAACUGAGACACGGUCCAGACUCCUACGGGAGGCAGCAGUAGGGAAUCUUCCGCAAUGGGCGAAAGCCUGACGGAGCAACGCCGCGUGAGUGAUGAAGGUCUUCGGAUCGUAAAACUCUGUUAUUAGGGAAGAACAAAUGUGUAAGUAACUAUGCACGUCUUGACGGUACCUAAUCAGAAAGCCACGGCUAACUACGUG
rnacentral:rRNA from 1 species